rnacentral:rRNA from 1 species
AACGAACGCUGGCGGCAGGCUUAACACAUGCAAGUCGAGCGCCCCGCAAGGGGAGCGGCAGACGGGUGAGUAACGCGUGGGAACGUACCUUUUGGUUCGGAACAACUCCGGGAAACUGGAGCUAAUACCGGAUAAGCCCUAACGGGGAAAGAUUUAUCGCCGAAAGAUCGGCCCGCGUCUGAUUAGCUAGUUGGUGAGGUAACGGCUCACCAAGGCGACGAUCAGUAGCUGGUCUGAGAGGAUGGUCAGCCACACUGGGACUGAGACACGGCCCAGACUCCUACGGGAGGCAGCAGUGGGGAAUAUUGGACAAUGGGCGCAAGCCUGAUCCAGCCAUGCCGCGUGAGUGAUGAAGGCCUUAGGGUUGUAAAGCUCUUUUGUCCGGGAAGAUAAUGACUGUACCGGAAGAAUAAGCCCCGGCUAACUUCGUG